UACACUUCAGGUGUUCCUCCACUACAGGUACACUUCAAGGUGUUCCUCCACUACAGCUACACUUCAAGGUGCUCCUCCACUACAGCUACACUUCAAGGUGCUCCUCCACACAGCUACACUUCAAGGUGCUCCUCCACUACAGCUACACUUCAAGGUGUUCCUCCACUACAGCUACACUUCAAGGUGUUCCUCCACUACAGCUACACUUCAGUGCUCCUCCACUACAGCUACACUUCAGGGUGCUCCUCCACUACAGCUACACUUCAAGGUGCUCCUCCACUACAGCUACACUUCAAGGUGCUCCUCCACUACAGCUACACUUCAAGGUGCUCCUCCACUACAGCUACACUUCAAGGUGCUCCUCCACUACAGC